rnacentral:rRNA from 1 species
GCAACGCCGCGUGAGUGAGGAAGGCCUUCGGGUCGUAAAGCUCUGUUGUUAGGGAAGAACAAGUACCGUUCGAACAGGGCGGUACCUUGACGGUACCUAACCAGAAAGCCACGGCUAACUACGUGCCAGCAGCCGCGGUAAUACGUAGGUGGCAAGCGUUGUCCGGAAUUAUUGGGCGUAAAGCGCGCGCAGGCGGUCUCUUAAGUCUGAUGUGAAAGCCCACGGCUCAACCGUGGAGGGUCAUUGGAAACUGGGGGACUUGAGUACUGGAGAGGAGAGUGGAAUUCCAUGUGUAGCGGUGAAAUGCGUAGAUAUAUGGAGGAACACCAGUGGCGAAGGCGGCUCUCUGGCCAGUAACUGACGCUGAGGCGCGAAAGCGUGGGGAGCAAACAGGAUUAGAUACCCUGGUAGUCCACGCCGUAAACGAUGAGUGCUAGGUGUUGGGGGGUUCCACCCUCAGUGCUGACGUUAACACAUUAAGCACUCCGCCUGGGGAGUACGACCGCAAGGUUG